rnacentral:rRNA from 1 species
UACGUAGGGAGCAAGCGUUGUCCGGAAUCACUGGGCGUAAAGAGCGUGUAGGCGGUUCGGUAAGUCUGCCGUGAAAACCUGGGGCUCAACCCCGGGCGUGCGGUGGAUACUGCCGGGCUAGAGGGUGGUAGAGGCGAGUGGAAUUCCCGGUGUAGCGGUGAAAUGCGCAGAUAUCGGGAAGAACACCCGUGGCGAAGGCGGCUUCUGGGACGGUACUGACGCUGAGACGCGAAAGCGUGGGGAGCGAACAGG